UACGGGGGGGGCAAGCGUUGUUCGGAAUUACUGGGCGUAAAGGGCUCGUAGGUGGCCAACUAAGUCAGACGUGAAAUCCCUCGGCUUAACCGGGGAACUGCGUCUGAUACUGGAUGGCUUGAGUUCGGGAGAGGGGAUGCGGAAUUCCAGGUGUAGCGGUGAAAUGCGUAGAUAUCUGGAGGAACACCGGUGGCGAAGGCGGCAUCCUGGACCGGUAUUGACGCUGAGGAGCGAAGCCAGGGGAGCAACGGG
rnacentral:rRNA from 1 species